GGGUCGUUAGCUCAGUUGGUAGAGCAGUUGGCUUUUAACCAAUUGGUCGCAGGUUCGAAUCCUGCACGACCCACCA
rnacentral:tRNA from 62 species